rnacentral:rRNA from 1 species
GAUGAACGCUGGCGGCGUGCCUAAUACAUGCAAGUCGAGCGAACGGACGAGAAGCUUGCUUCUCUGAUGUUAGCGGCGGACGGGUGAGUAACACGUGGAUAACCUACCAUAAGACUGGGAUAACUUCGGGAAACCGGAGCUAAUACCGGAUGAUAUUUUGAACCGCAUGGUUCAAAAGUGAAAGACGGUCUUGCUGUCACUUAUAGAUGGAUCCGCGCUGCAUUAGCUAGUUGGUAAGGUAACGGCUUACCAAGGCAACGAUGCAUAGCCGACCUGAGAGGGUGAUCGGCCACACUGGAACUGAGACACGGUCCAGACUCCUACGGGAGGCAGCAGUAGGGAAUCUUCCGCAAUGGGCGAAAGCCUGACGGAGCAACGCCGCGUGAGUGAUGAAGGUCUUCGGAUCGUAAAACUCUGUUAUUAGGGAAGAACAUAUGUGUAAGUAACUGUGCACAUCUUGACGGUACCUAAUCAGAAAGCCACGGCUAACUACGUG